rfam:Candidatus Phytoplasma pruni strain CX contig00001, whole genome shotgun sequence.
AAUGGAAGGUGGUCGAGGUUUAAUAUUGUUUUUAACAAUAUUAGGCUUAGGAAAGUCCAUAUUAGCACAUGUUUAGGAAAGACAUGUAGUGUUUGUGCUUAAGGAAAACAAGAACUUAAGGUGCUUAAAUUCAUUUAAGUAACGACUGUUUAAAUUCUAAAAACUUAUUCAUAAGUUCAUGAAAAUAAACUUAAAGUGCCACAGAAACGAGUUAAUUAGAAAUAAUUAAAUGAAACGCGGUAAACUCCUCAAGCUAACAACCCAAAAAAAUGGUAGGGGCACAUGAAAAUUGACGUUUUCUGUUUUUUUAAUUAUAGUUGGUUUUUGUGCUAUUUUCGAUAACGAAUGUAGAGAUAAAUGAUCACACUUGUUUGCAAAAACAAGAACAGAACAUGGCUUAUGCAC